AUUGAACGCUGGCGGCAUGCCUUACACAUGCAAGUCGAACGGCAGCACGGGUGCUUGCACCUGGUGGCGAGUGGCGAACGGGUGAGUAAAGCAUCGGAACGUACCGUGAAGUGGGGGAUAACGUAGCGAAAGUUACGCUAAUACCGCAUAUUCUGUGAGCAGGAAAGAGGGGGAUCGCAAGACCUCUUGCUUUACGAGCGGCCGAUGUCGGAUUAGCUAGUUGGUGAGGUAAAGGCUCACCAAGGCGACGAUCCGUAGCGGGUCUGAGAGGAUGAUCCGCCACACUGGGACUGAGACACGGCCCAGACUCCUACGGGAGGCAGCAGUGGGGAAUUUUGGACAAUGGGCGCAAGCCUGAUCCAGCCAUGCAGCGUGAGUGAAGAAGGCCUUCGGGUUGUAAAGCUCUUUCGGCGGGGAAGAAAUCCUAACGGAUAAUACCUGUUGGGGAUGACGGUACCAAAAGAAUAAGCACCGGCUAACUACGUGCCAGCAGCCGCGGUAACAC
rnacentral:rRNA from 1 species